CUUGGUAAAAAAUUCUAUAAAAAAAUUUUUAUAUUAAAAUAUGAGUCUAGUUUCAGGAAAAAUUUACAGAACUGGUUUUUGAGUUUUGGAACUCGAGAUAUGAUUUUUAAGGUGACAGUGACGCAGUUAGCCAGCAGUCUGGAAAUUUUUAAAAUGGACUGUGAAAUAAAUGAACUAUGUCUGUUAGCACCUCGUGGUCGACUCCGGCAACGGUCUUGGGUACAGGGUGUUACACACCCCUUUUAU
rnacentral:lncRNA from 1 species